rnacentral:rRNA from 1 species
UACGUAGGGGGCGAGCGUUGUCCGGAGUUACUGGGCGUAAAGCGCACGCAGGCGGUCUGCUAAGUUUGGAGUGACAGUUGGUGGCUUAACUGCCAAAGUGCUUCGAAAACUGACAGACUUGAGGGCUUCAGAGGGACACGGAAUUCCGGGUGGAGUGGUGAAAUGCGUAGAGAUCCGGAGGAACACCAAAGGCGAAGGCAGUGUCCUGGGGAGUACCUGACGCUCAGAUGCGAAAGCCAGGGGAGCGAACGGG